CUUCCCUCAGAGGCUGUGUGUCAGACGCCUGGUACCCUGGUUCUUUGGGCGGGUGAGCCAAUUAGCACAUUCCCUAGUCUGGAACUGUAGUUGCUGUGUAUGUGAUCUGCAUACUGAUUCAGCUGAGAUUUGACCUUCUGGGCGGAGAAAAACAAGAAUCCCAGCACUUAGAGUAUGGAAUUAAACUACUCCCUAUACUCAAGAAUAGAUCCAACAUAAGCAUGGAUAUAGCAUAGAGUGAUGGAUCAAGCCAUACCUCUUUCUAAUUUCUAUGCUGAUAAAUCUCUUACUUUACACUAGUUGGUGGAAUGGUGUGGUGAGUUACU
rnacentral:lncRNA from 12 species